UACGUAGGGUCCGAGCGUUGUCCGGAAUUACUGGGCGUAAAGCGUGCGCAGGCGGUUCGCUGUGUCCUGUGUGAAAGCCCCGGGCUUAACCUGGGAAUGGCAUGGGAAACUGGCGGGCUGGAGUGUGGCAGAGGGGGGUGGAAUUCCGCGUGUAGCAGUGAAAUGCGUAGAGAUGCGGAGGAACACCGAUGGCGAAGGCAGCCCCCUGGGCUAACACUGACGCUCAGGCACGAAAGCGUGGGGAGCAAACAGG
rnacentral:rRNA from 1 species